GCCGGGUGUGGUGGUGCACGCCUGUAAUCCCAACUACUGGGGGAGGCUGAGGCAGGAGAAUUGCUUGAACCCAGGAGACUGAGGUGAGCCAAAAUCGAGCCACUGCAUUCCAGCCUGGGUGACAGAGCGAGACACUGUCUCAA
rfam:Gorilla gorilla gorilla genomic chromosome, chr8, whole genome shotgun sequence